GACGAACGCUGGCGGCGUGCUUAACACAUGCAAGUCGAACGAUGAAACUCUUCGGGGUGGAUUAGUGGCGAACGGGUGAGUAACACGUGGGUGACCUGCCCUGCACUUUGGGAUAAGCCUGGGAAACUGGGUCUAAUACCGGAUAGGACCAUGGCCUGCAUGGGUUGUGGUGGAAAGCUUUUGCGGUGUGGGAUGGGCCCGCGGCCUAUCAGCUUGGUGGUGGGGUGAUGGCCUGCCAAGGGUUCGACGGGUAGGCGGCCUGAGAGGGUGUCGGGCCACACUGGGACUGAGAUACGGCCCAGACUCCUACGGGAGGCAGCAGUGGGGAAUAUUGCACAAUGGGCGCGAGCCUGAUGCAGCGACGCCGCGUGGGGGAUGACGGCCUUCGGGUUGUAAACCUCUUUCAAUAGGGACGAAGCGCAAGUGACGGUACCUAUAGAAGAAGCACCGGCCAACUACGUGCCAGCAGCCGCCGUAAUAC
rnacentral:rRNA from 1 species